GCUGGGUGUGGUGGUGCACAUCUGUGAUCCCACCAGCUCAGGUGGCUGAGGCAGGAGGAUCUCAAGGUCAAAGCCAGCCUCAGCAACUUAGGGAGGUCCUAAACAACUUAUUGAGACCUUGUCUCUA
rnacentral:sRNA from 1 species